CGCGUAGGCGGUUUGUUAAGUCAGCUGUGAAAGCCCCGGGCUCAACCUGGGAACUGCAGUUGAUACUGGCCGACUGGAGUGCGAGAGAGGGAGGUAGAAUUCCAUGUGUAGCGGUGAAAUGCGUAGAUAUAUGGAGGAAUACCGGUGGCGAAGGCGGCCUCCUGGCUCGACACUGACGCUGAGGUGCGAAAGCGUGGGAUCAAACA
rnacentral:rRNA from 1 species